AUUGAACGCUGGCGGCAGGCUUAACACAUGCAAGUCGAGCGGAGAGAGGUAGCUUGCUACUGAUCUUAGCGGCGGACGGGUGAGUAAUGCUUAGGAAUCUGCCUAUUAGUGGGGGACAACAUUUCGAAAGGAAUGCUAAUACCGCAUACGUCCUACGGGAGAAAGCAGGGGAUCUUCGGACCUUGCGCUAAUAGAUGAGCCUAAGUCGGAUUAGCUAGUUGGUGGGGUAAAGGCCUACCAAGGCGACGAUCUGUAGCGGGUCUGAGAGGAUGAUCCGCCACACUGGGACUGAGACACGGCCCAGACUCCUACGGGAGGCAGCAGUGGGGAAUAUUGGACAAUGGGCGCAAGCCUGAUCCAGCCAUGCCGCGUGUGUGAAGAAGGCCUUAUGGUUGUAAAGCACUUUAAGCGAGGAGGAGGCUACUUUAGUUAAUACCUAGAGAUAGUGGACGUUACUCGCAGAAUAAGCACCGGCUAACUCUGUGCCAGCAGCCGCCGUAAUAC
rnacentral:rRNA from 1 species